rnacentral:rRNA from 1 species
ACGCUGGCGGCGUGCCUAACACAUGCAAGUCGAACGGGGUAAAGAGCUUCGGUUCUUUACUUAGUGGCGAACGGGUGAGUAACGCGUGAGAAACCUGCCUUUCAGUGGGGGACAACAGUUGGAAACGACUGCUAAUACCGCAUAAUGUAUCGAGAGGGCAUCCUCUUGAUACCAAAGAUUUAUUGCUGAAAGAUGGUCUCGCGUCUGAUUAGCUAGUUGGUGGGGUAACGGCCCACCAAGGCGACGAUCAGUAGCCGGUCUGAGAGGAUGAACGGCCACAUUGGGACUGAGACACGGCCCAAACUCCUACGGGAGGCAGCAGUGGGGAAUCUUCCGCAAUGGGCGCAAGCCUGACGGAGCAACGCCGCGUGAGUGAAGAAGGUUUUCGGAUCGUAAAGCUCUGUUGAGAGGGACGAGAGAUAUAAUCAGGAAAUGGGUUAUAGAGGACGGUACCUUUCGAGGAAGCCACGGCUAACUACGUG